rnacentral:rRNA from 1 species
CACGUAGGGGGCGAGCGUUGUCCGGAUUUAUUGGGCGUAAAGAGCGUGUAGGCGGUUCGGUAAGUCUGUCGUGAAAUCCUGAGGCUCAACCUCGGGCGUGCCGAUGGAUACUGCCGGGCUAGAGGGUGGUAGAGGCGAGUGGAAUUCCCGGUGUAGCGGUGAAAUGCGCAGAUAUCGGGAGGAACACCAGUAGCGAAGGCGGCUCGCUGGGCCACACCGUGACGCUGAGACGCGAAAGCUAGGGGAGCGAACGAGGA